rnacentral:lncRNA from 1 species
AGGAAUUGAUUGGGUUUAAUCUAAAAAAAGGAAUUGAUUGGGAGUUUUUAAAAGAUACCUGAUUGGAUCUAUAGUCUAUACUUUAGGAAAGAAAUAAAAUGGGAAACAAUUUAAUUAGUACUUGAUUGAUAGUAUACUAAUUAGAAAUGCCAUACAGUAUUUGCCUAGAAUCUGCGCUAGCCAGAGAGUAAAAAAGACUCUCUGGUUCUAUUUUUUUUUACUGUAUCAAGACGUAGCAUGUGAGUGCGCCGAGCUGGUACUUUGAG